GACGAACGCUGGCGGCGUGCUUAACACAUGCAAGUCGAACGAUGAACCCGGAGCUUGCUCUGGGGGAUUAGUGGCGAACGGGUGAGUAACACGUGAGUAACCUGCCCUGGACUCUGGGAUAAGCGUUGGAAACGACGUCUAAUACCGGAUAGGACCUUGGAUCGCAUGAUCUGGGGUGGAAAGUUUUUUCGGUCUGGGAUGGACUCGCGGCCUACCAGCUUGUUGGUGAGGUAAUGGCUCACCAAGGCGUCGACGGGUAGCCGGCCUGAGAGGGUGACCGGCCACACUGGGACUGAGACACGGCCCAGACUCCUACGGGAGGCAGCAGUGGGGAAUAUUGCACAAUGGGCGAAAGCCUGAUGCAGCAACGCCGCGUGCGGGAUGACGGCCUUCGGGUUGUAAACCGCUUUUAGUAGGGAAGAAGGGCUUCGGCUUGACGGUACCUGCAGAAAAAGGACCGGCUAACUACGUG
rnacentral:rRNA from 1 species